rnacentral:rRNA from 1 species
ACCUAGGGGGGCAGCAGUGGGGAAUAUUGGGCAAUGGGCGCAAGCCUGACCCAGCAACGCCGCGUGAAGGAAGAAGGCUUUCGGGUUGUAAACUUCUUUUAUCAGGGACGAAGCAAGUGACGGUACCUGAUGAAUAAGCCACGGCUAACUACGUGCCAGCAGCCGCGGUAAUACGUAGGUGGCAAGCGUUAUCCGGAUUUACUGGGUGUAAAGGGCGUGUAGGCGGGAGGGCAAGUCAGAUGUGAAAACUAUGGGCUCAACCCAUAGCCUGCAUUUGAAACUGUACUUCUUGAGUGCUGGAGAGG